GGAUCAUUACCGAGUUUACAACUCCCAAACCCCUGUGAACAUACCACUUGUUGCCUCGGCGGAUCAGCCCGCUCCCGGUAAAACGGGACGGCCCGCCAGAGGACCCCUAAACUCUGUUUCUAUAUGUAACUUCUGAGUAAAACCAUAAAUAAAUCAAAACUUUCAACAACGGAUCUCUUGGUUCUGGCAUCGAUGAAGAACGCAGCAAAAUGCGAUAAGUAAUGUGAAUUGCAGAAUUCAGUGAAUCAUCGAAUCUUUGAACGCACAUUGCGCCCGCCAGUAUUCUGGCGGGCAUGCCUGUUCGAGCGUCAUUUCAACCCUCAAGCACAGCUUGGUGUUGGGACUCGCGUUAAUUCGCGUUCCUCAAAUUGAUUGGCGGUCACGUCGAGCUUCCAUAGCGUAGUAGUAAAACCCUCGUUACUGGUAAUCGUCGCGGCCACGCCGUUAAACCCCAACUUCUGAAUGUUGACCUCGGAUCAGGUAGGAAUACCCGCUGAACUUAAGCAUAUCAAUAA
rnacentral:rRNA from 1 species